rnacentral:rRNA from 1 species
GACGGGGGCCCGCACAAGCGGUGGAGCAUGUGGUUAAUUCGAAGCAACGCGAAGAACCUUACCAGGUCUUGACAUCCCUGGACAACCCGAGAGAGUCGGCGUUCCCCUUCGGGGGACAGGGUGACAGGUGGUGCAUGGUGUCGUCAGCUCGUGUCGUGAGAUGUUGGGUUAAGUCCCGCAACGAGCGCAACCCUCGACCUUAGUUGCCAGCAUUCAGUUGGGCACUCUAAGGUGACUGCCGGCUAAAAGUCGGAGGAAGGUGGGGAUGACGUCAAAUCAUCAUUGCCCCUUAUGGACCUGGGCUACACACGUGCUACGAAUGGGACGGUACAAAGGGUCGCGAACCCGCGAGGGGGGAGCCAAUCCCAAAAAGCCGACUCUCAGUUCGGAUUGCAGGCUGCAACUCGCCUGCAUGAAGCCGGAAUCGCUAGUAAUCGCGGAUCAGCAUGCCGCGGUGAAUACGUUCCCGGGCCUU